rnacentral:lncRNA from 1 species
AUGCUGCUCGGCGGGAGCUGGGAGACGGUUGGAGGAGCUGAGAUGGAGAUGGUGGUGCUGAGCCCAGCGGUCCUGAGGUCACUAUUUGGUGAUGUCUGUUUCUUCCCUUCCAGGAGGUGGCAGCAGGUGAGUAAGGAGAAGGACCUGGAUGGGUUGAGGGGCACAGGUGGGAGUAUGUGCGUGAGCAUGCAUGCAUGUGUGUACGUGUGUGUGUGUGUGUGUGUGUGUGCGUGCAUGUGCAGUUUUGAGGAGAAGAAUCUGGGUGAGUAACCAAACUUCUCCAAUUUGGCAUAUGGGAGUUCCCAGUUAUUUUAACUUGCUUUUUAAAGAAAAUGGGCCCUCACUGUGUAGUCAAGGGUUAACUGAGAUCAGAACUUUCAGGAAAUGCAUAUUUGGAAGGAACUGUCCAUUUGGAUACAAGCUGACACCAGAUUGAGCUUUUUUUUUUUUUUUUUCUCUUUAGGGCCACACCUAAAGCAUAGGAAGUUCCCAGACUAGGGGUCAAAUCAGAGCUGCAGCAGCCAGCCUAUGCCUCAGCCAAAGCAACACUGGACCCGAGCCACGUUGGAGACCUACACUGCAGCUUGCGGUGACACAGAAUCCUUAACCCACUGAGUGAGGCCAGGGAUCGAACCUUCAUCCUCACAGACACUAUGUAGGGUUCUUAGCCCACUGAGCCACAAUGGCUACUCCUGAACUUCUUUGAUUAUACUUCUUUGACAUCAGAUUAAGCUUCCACAGGGAAAAGCUUGUUUAAGCUUGUCACGUCUUAUCUUUCACCAAUAUUCAAUUUGUAAGGAAGUGGGAAAAAAAUUUUUUUCUGAGUUUUGGAGGGUGGGGUGCAGACUGGAUUUCAGGCCCCUGUUGCCUCCUCAGAUGUUUGCCUCAGCACAACCUUACAUUCUAAGAAAGAAUGUCCUAGAACAUAAGCACCACUUCCCUAUCACGACAUGGUUGUAGUAAUAGAAUUAAUGAACAUUUACUGUACACCAGGUACCACUCUAGGCACUUUCAAUAUUUGCUUGGAACCUUUUGAGCCUCAUGGCAGCAACUUCAGGUAAGGAAAGAGAACAACCUGCCAAGGUAACAGCCACGGCGGAGCUGAGAUUGCUCUCUUAACCAUCUGCUGUCCUGCUAGACAUGGAAAGAUCUGUAAGCAACUUCAGGCAAGGCAAGGAGAAAACAAGAGAGAAAGCAGAGCCCCAAGUAAACCUGGUGAGAAAAUGCUUGGCAUGAAAUCCUAUUUACUAGAGAGAAGCCACAUGCAUAGUUAGUGCUGAGCUUUUUCUAAAAUAAUCAACAGGGAGGGAAAACUCAACAUCAUUUUAAGAUUCCCAGUAUCCAUAAGGUAUAAAGUUCAAGAAUUGGGGGAGAAGCACAACUAUUUGUGGAACUAAGAUAAAAGGAAAUUGUCUCCAGUUGGUCUUUGAAGAGCCACUUAUCCAAGGUCUCCCAGCUGCUCAGCCAGAAUUUAAACCACAUGGUUUCAGAGUCCACAUUCUCAGGCACAGCCCCCCUCUGCCUCUGGAGCUGGACCUGGUGCUCCUGAUAAAUGUUUCUUGAAUGGAUAAGUGACCAACCAGUGAAAUCAAAACAGUAGUUCAGGAGUGUCUGGAGCAACGGGAGGGUGGCUUGAUAUGACUGUGUCCAUUCUUACAUUAGAGUUGUUUAUAAUUAAGUGUUCAGAGACUGCCCAGAUUAAUAAUAAUCUUAACACCCUCCCAAACACCAAAGCAAACUAACUUCUAACUAAGGCUUUCACUCAGAGAAGCAGCACAAAUGGCUAUUGUGUCUCCCUUGUCUUUUGCAGAACCUAAGAAUUUACUUGGAACCAACCUGAUAUGAAUGGAAUUUCACUUGUAGGAGUUUCGCAAAGACUCAGUCACAUUCUCUCUCUCUGUCUCGCUCGUCUGCCCCCCCUCCCUCAUAGGACUUGGAUGGACACAAGGCUUGAAAUCAGAUAUUGGGCUGCUCUGAUCGAUGCAGGGAGGGCAUAUUAUUACAAGUAUAAAACUGCUUAUAAAAGUCUUACAGCAACUGGAAAAAAAAAUGGAAACAUUAACAGCUAAGUCCCAGUUCAGCUUACACUCUAUUAAAUAUAAAAUCCUUCAAACCUGAUAAUCAUUCAAAGAGGGCUUUACUCAGCAUAGUUGAGCAGGACCAACUCCACGGCCAGUGAGAAGGAGGCAGAUAGCUUCAUAUCCAAAAAAUUCCCCAAAGCUCCAUCAUCAGGCAUAUAUUUUCACCAAACAGUGUCUAAUAUCUGUGUAGCGCCUCUUAAACUGCAUGCCUGAAACGAAUCCAUAUUGGGUCUCUGCUCCAGUCUGGCACUAAUUUGGUUUUCUCACACACAUUCCCUCCUUUGGAACCAACAACAACCCUGGGAUUUAGGCUGGGCAGAUGUAAUUAUCCCUGUUUUACAGCUAAGAAUGCAGGCUUAGAGAUGGAAAGGAAGUUUGUGGAAGCUGUAAGUGAGCAGGGGCCCUCUUGAGAGCAGCAAGGAGCCCAGAACUUAAACCUGGGUCUCCGCACUCUUGCACUCUGCUCUCUAACCUCCGCUGAAGAUGUGAACCCCCACCCACUGGAAGGUUGGAGAACUAUGCAAAGGGAAGCCAGGUGCCAACAGAGUCCAGCUCCACAUCGUCCAAUAAACCCACUUUUCCCGAGAGUGAGGAUAAGGAA